rnacentral:rRNA from 1 species
UUCGGUCCCUAUCCGUCGCGGGCGCAGGAAAUUUGAGAGGAGCUGUCCUUAGUACGAGAGGACCGGGAUGGACGCACCGCUGGUGUACCAGUUGUCUUGCCAAAGGCAUAGCUGGGUAGCUACGUGCGGACGGGAUAAGUGCUGAAAGCAUCUAAGCAUGAAGCCCCCCUCAAGAGGAGAUUUCCCAUGGCGCAAGCUAGUAAGAUCCCUGAAAGAUGAUCAGGUUGAUAGGUCAGAGGUGGAAGCGUGGCGACAUGUGGAGCUGACUGAUACUAAUAGAUCGAGGACUUAACCAAC